UGAACAUCAACAGGGUAUCCAAAACAAAUC
rnacentral:sRNA from 1 species